CGGACGGGUGAGUAACGCGUGGAGAACCUGCCGUAUACUGGGGGAUAACACUUAGAAAUAGGUGCUAAUACCGCAUAAGCGCACAGCUUCGCAUGAAGCGGUGUGAAAAACUCCGGUGGUGUAAGAUGGACCCGCGUCUGAUUAGCUUGUUGGCGGGGUAACGGCCCACCAAGGCGACGAUCAGUAGCCGGCCUGAGAGGGCGGACGGCCACAUUGGGACUGAGACACGGCCCAGACUCCUACGGGAGGCAGCAG
rnacentral:rRNA from 1 species